AACAAAAAAGGAAAUGGUGUUCUUCCUUACCCAACCGCUCUAAAAGAGCUGAUGACGCCUGAUUAAAU
rnacentral:ncRNA from 2 species